UAGAUGUUGGGUUUUUGGGGUUCGUAUGACCCCAUAUGUUGGGUUUUGGGGUCAGUAGGCCCCCCAUGCAUUGGGUUUUGGGGUUGAUAGGACCAUAGGUGUUGGGUUUUGGGGUUGGUAGAACCUCAUACGUUGGGUUUUGGGGUUGGUAGGACCAUAGGUGUUGGGUUUUGGGGUUGGUAGGACCAUAGAUGUUGGGGUUUUGGGGUCGGUAGGCCUACAUGCGUUGGGUUUUGGGGUUGAUAGGACCAUAAGUGUUGGGUUUUGGGGUUGGUAGGACCAUUUAGGUUGGGUUUUAGGGUUGGUAGGCCCCCAUGCGUUGGGUUUUGGGGUUCCUAUGACGUUUUACGAUUGGGGUUUGGGGUCAGUAGAACCAUUUGGGUUGAGUUUUGGGGUCAGUAGGCCCCCACAUGUUCUGUUUUGGGGUUCGUAUGACCUCAUAUUUUGGGUUUUGGGGUCAGUAGGCCCCCAUGUGUUGGGUUUUGGGGUUGAUAGGACCAUACAUGUUGGGUUUUGGGGGUUGGUAGAACCUCAUACGUUGGGUUUUGGGGUUGGUAAGACCAUAGGUGUUGGGUUUUUGGGUUGGUAGGACCCUACAUGUUGGGUUUUGGGGUUGGUGGUACCAUAGAUGUUGGGUUUUGGGGUUGAUAGGACCAUUUAUGUGGGGUUUUGGGGGUCAGUAGGACCCCAUGUGUUGGGUUUUGGGGUUGAUAGGACCAUUUAGGUUGGGUUUUGGGGUCAGUAGGACCAUAGGUGUUGGGUUUUGGGGUCAGUAGGCCCUCAUGUUUUGGGUUUUGGGGGUUGAUAGGACCAUAGGUGUUGGGUUUUGGGGUUGGUAGGACCCUACAUGUUGGAUUUUGGGGUUGGUAGGCCUAUAGGUGUUGGGUUUUGGGGUUGGUAGGCCCCUACAUGUUGGUUUUUGGGGUUGGUAGGACCAUAGAUGUUGGGUUUUGGGGUCAGUAGGCCCCCCACACGUUGGGUUUUGGGGUUGGGAACCCCCCAUGCGUUGGGUUUUGGAGUUGAUAGGACAAUUUAGGUUGGGUUUUGGGGUCAGUAGGGCCCCCACAUGUUGGGUUUUGGGGUUCGUAUGACCAUUUAUGUUGGGUUUUUGGGGUCGGUAGAACCCCAUGCGUUGGGUUUUGGGGUCGGUAGGACCAUAGAUGUUGGGUUUUGGGGUCAGUAGGCCCCCAUGUGUUGGGUUUUGGGGUUGGUAGGACCAUAGGUGUUGGGUUUUGGGGUCGGUAGGCACAAUUUAGGUUGGGUUUUGGGGUCGGUAGGACCAUAGAUAUUGGGGUUUUUGGGGUCAGUAGGCCCCCAUAUGUUGGGUUUUGGGGUCGGUAGGACCUUAUGUGUUGGGUUUUGGGGUUGGUAGGACCAUAGGUGUUGGGUUUUUGGGUUGGUAGGACCCUACAUGUUGGGUUUUGGGGUUGGUGGUACCAUAGAUGUUGGGUUUUGGGGUUGAUAGGACCAUUUAUGUGGGGGUUUUGGGGUCAGUAGGACCCCAUGCGUUGGGUUUUGGGGUUGAUAGGACAAUUUAUGUUGGGUUUUGGGGUUGAUAGGGCCAUAGGUGUUGGGUUUUGGGGUCGGUAGGGCCAUAGGUGAUGGGUUUUGGGGUUGGUAGGGCCAUAGGUGAUGGGUUUUGGGGUCAGUAGGACCAUAGGUGUUGGGUUUUGGGGAUGGUAGGGACCCCAUUCGUUGGGUUUUGGGGUUCCUAUGACGUUUUAGAUUGGGGUUUGGGGUCAGUAGAACCAUUUGGGUUGAGUUUUGGGGUCAGUAGGCCCCCAUGUGUUGGGUUUUGGGGUCAGUAGGCCCACAUAUGUUGGGUUUUGGGGUUCAUAUGACCGUUUAGGUUGGGUUUUGGGGUCAGUAGGCCCUUAGGUGUUGGGUUUUGGGGUCAAUAGGCCCCUACAUGUUGGGUUUUGGGGUCAGUAGGCCCCCAUGCAUUGGGUUUUGGGGUUGAUAGGACAAUUUAGGUUGGGUUUUGGGGUCAGUAGGCCCCCAUGUGUUGGGUUUUGGGGUAGGUAGAACCCUACAUGUUGGGUUUUGGGGUUGGUAGGACCAUAGAUGUUGGGUUUUGGGGUCAGUAGACCCCCAUAUGUUGGGUUUUGGGGUUGGUAGGACCAUAGGUGUUGGGUUUUGGGGUUGGUAGAACCCUACAUGUUGGGUUUUGGGGUUGGUAGGACCAUAGGUGUUGGGUUUUGGGGUCAGUAGGCCCCCACAUGUUGGGUUUUGGGGUCAGUAGGCCCCCCACACGUUGGGUUUUGGGGUCAGUAGGCCCCCAUGCGUUGGGUUUUGGGGUUGGUAGAACCCUACAUGUUGGGUUUUGGGGUUGAUAGGACAAUUUAUGUUGGGUUUUGGGGUCAGUAGGCCCCCACAUGUUGGGUUUUGGGGUCAGUAGGCCCCCACACGUUGGGUUUUGGGGUCAGUAGGCCCCCAUGUGUUGGGUUUUGGGGUUGGUAGGACCCUACAUGUUGAGUUUUGGGGUCAGUAGGCCCCCAUGCAUUGGGUUUUAGGGUUCGUAUGACCAUUUAGGUUGGGUUUUGGGGGUCAGUAGGCCCCCACGUGUUGGGUUUUGGGGUUGGUAGGCCCCCAUGUGUUGGGUUUUGGGGUCGGUAGGACCAUAGAUGUUGGGUUUUGGGGUCAGUAGGCCCCCCACACGUUGGGUUUUGGGGUCAGUAGGGCCCCCACACGUUGGGUUUUGGGGUCAGUAGGCCCCCAUGUGUUGGGUUUUGGGGUUGGUAGGCCCAUAGAUGUUGGGUUUUGGAGUUGGUAGUACAAUUUAGGUUGGGUUUUGGGGUCGGUAGGCCCCCACAUGUUGGGUUUUGGGGUCAGUAGGCCCCCACACAUUGGGUUUUGGGGUCAGUAGGCCCCCAUAUGUUGGGUUUUGGGGUCAGUAGGCCCCCAUGUGUUGGGUUUUGGGGUCAGUAGGGCUAUAGGUGUUGGGUUUUGGGGUUGAUAGGACCAUAGAUGUUGGGUUUUGGGGUUGGUAGGACUCUACAUGUUGGGUUUUGGGGUUGGUAGGACCAUAGGUGUUGGGUUUUGGGGUUGGUAGAACCCUACAUGUUGGGUUUUGGGGUUGGUAGGACCAUAGGUGUUGGGUUUUGGGGUUGGUAGAACCCUACAUGUUGGGUUUUGGGGUUGGUAGGACCAUAGAUGUUGGGUUUUGGGGUCGGUAGGACCAUAGAUGUUGGGUUUUGGGGUCAGUAGGACCAUAGGUGUUGGGUUUUGGGGUCGGUAGGACCAUAGGUGUUGGGUUUUGGGGUCGGUAGGACCAUUUAGGUUGGGUUUUGGGGUCAGUAGGCCCCCAUAUGUUGGGUAUUGGGGUUGGUAGGACUAUAGAUAUUGGGUUUUGGGGUCAAUAGACUCCUAUAUGUUGGGUUUUGGGGUUGGUAGAACCCCAUGCGUUGGGUUUUGGGGUUGAUAGGACCAUAGAUGUUGGGUUUUUGGGGUUGGUAGGCCCAUAGAUGUUGGGUUUUGGAGUCGGAAGGACCAUAGAUGUUGGGUUUUGGGGUUGGUAGGACCUUAUGUGUUGGGUUUUGGGGUAGGUGGAACCCCAUACGUUGGGUUUUGGGGUUGGUAGGCCCCCCACACAUUGGGUUUUGGGGUUGAUAGGCCCCCAUGUGUUGGGUUUUGGGGUUGGUAGGACCCUACAUGUUGGGUUUUGGGGUCGGUAGGCCCCCAUGUGUUGGGUUUUGGGGGUUGAGAU